rnacentral:tRNA from 1 species
GCCUGGGUGGCUCAGUCAGUUAAGCGUCUGACUUCAGCUCAGGUCAUGUUCUCACAGUCUGUGAGUUUGAGCCCCACAUCAGGCU